GCUGACCAGGCAUAAUGACUGCUAUGAGCUUGGAUACCCACGUGACUGUAACGGGAGCAACACGAGAUGGUACUUCAAUAGUCAUGGCCCAUGGUGCACGAAGUUUCCAAAGGGUAGUUGUGCUAAGUAUAGAAAUGGGUUUCCCACUUGCGAUGAAUGCCAGGAGAAAUGCAAAGUUUCAGUAUGCGCUGAAGAAAUACCAAAGCCAUGGUAUGACUUUUUAAGAGAUAGGGUUCGACGAUAACUUAGGAACGCAUUCCACACCACAUAGAUUGGUAUUCUUUAUUCGUAAGGGGCUUAUCUUUACCAUCAUUUUAGUGUUUGUUGUAAAGUUUGACCGCAACCUGAGCAGCGUGCUUCAAGAAUGAAGAGGAACUCUGGUGCUCUUCGACUUCGUCGCGGUGCAAAUAGGAGAU